UGUGAUAAAAGAGCCAGGAGUCGUUGGAUUAAACACAUCAGGAGAGUGAACAAACACAUUUGGCUUCAAGCGACAAUGCUAACAAUGGACUUGGCCUCAGAUGACUCCAACUACUAUAAUGACAAUCAUUACACCAGCCAGGAGCACUAAUGAACCAAGUGGUAUUGAUUUCAACCGAGUUCAGUUGUCCUGGAUUUUAACCUUCCUUGGAUAACUAUGACCUGGAUAACUAACAAUUUUCACAGAGAUACAAUUAUGUCUACAACAAAAGAAGGGUUACAGAAAGCAACAGACCGUAUUUGUGAUUUCUGGAAAUCUCGAGAUUGUUCAUUGCUUCAAAUAUCUCUGUGUCAUUAUGAAUUAUAAUGGUUUAUUUAAGAUUGCCACUGUAUAAACAAGCCUCCCAUGCAAUGCUUGUGUUUUCUGGCUCACACAAAAUUAUAACUGUUAAACAGAGGGUGAAGGAUCAGCUUAGGUAAAAGUGGCAAAGUCAGCUCAGAAGUAUAAUGUGAUAUUUAUGUAGAAUUUAAACAAGCGCUUAAUCUGGAAAAGUAUCUGUUGUAUGAAAACCAAAAGUACAGUCAGGCUAUUUGUAAUUUUACAGUGAACAACUCCUGAAUUCCUAAGGUCACUGGAAGGUAUAAAGGGCUGGAUAGAAACCAGAUAUCCUCAAUCUUUGUAAUGACAACCAUUUGUAAGACAAGUAUCAUAUUUGGUUUGAAUGUAAGACACCCAUCUAUGUUUAAUUUAAUUUAGUUAUUAAUCAUAUAAGUCAAAAAUUAUUUGUGAACUAGGUGGCUUUAUGAAAGUUUCCUUACUUUGUUUAAGUAACAUUUGUUGUACUUUAGCCAUGCGGUGAGCCAUUGUAUUUUUCUAAUUGUAUGUUCUGUUUGUGCUCCAUACCAUGUGAUCAUGGUCUUGAAUCCCACAAACAAAGUAACAAAAAUAAAUAAAAAUGGUACCUGAUCUUUGUGAUAGGAA